ACCGGCAGCUCAAGUGGUGGCCAUUAUUAUUGGGCCUAAAGCGUUCGUAGCCGGUUUGAUAAGUCUCUGGUGAAAUCCCGCAGCUUAACUGUGGGACUUGCUGGAGAUACUAUCAGACUUGAGGUCGGGAGAGGUUAGGGGUACUCCCAGAGGAGGGGUAAAACCGUAUAACCCGGGGGUGAGCACCUACGGCUGGGGCGCCGAACUGUAAUGGACCCGCUGGUAGGUAAGGAGACCGAGGGCUGCAGUCUU
rnacentral:rRNA from 1 species